GACGAACGCUGGCGGCAUGCCUAACACAUGCAAGUCGAACGGAGAUUACUUCGGUAAUCUUAGUGGCGAACGGGUGAGUAACGCGUGGGCAACCUGCCCUCUAGAUGGGGACAACAUCCCGAAAGGGGUGCUAAUACCGAAUGUGACAGCAAUCUCGCAUGAAGAUGCUGUGAAAGAUGGCCUCUAUUUAUAAGCUAUCGCUAGAGGAUGGGCCUGCGUCUGAUUAGCUAGUUGGUGGGGUAACGGCCUACCAAGGCGAUGAUCAGUAGCCGGUCUGAGAGGAUGAACGGCCACAAUGGGAAUGAGACACGGCCCAGACUCCUACGGGAAGCAGCAGUGGGGGAACUUCCGCAAAGGGCGAAAGCCUGACGGAGCAAUGACGCGGGAGUGAUGAAGGGAUUCGUUCCGUAAAGCUCUUUUGUUUAUGAAGGAUGUGCAGCUUGUAAAUAAUAAUCUGUACUGACGGUAGUAAACGAAUAAGCCACGGCUAACUACGUG
rnacentral:rRNA from 1 species